rnacentral:rRNA from 1 species
CGUCGUGGAGAGGGAAACAACCCAGACCGCCAGCUAAGGUCCCAAAUUACUACUAAGUGGGAAACGAUGUGGGAAGGCUCAGACAGCCAGGAUGUUGGCUUAGAAGCAGCCAUCAUUUAAAGAAAGCGUAAUAGCUCACUGGUCGAGUCGGCCUGCGCGGAAGAUGUAACGGGGCUAAGUAGUAAACCGAAGCUGCGGCAAUGUGCUUUUGCACAUUGGGUAGGGGAGCGUUCUGUAAGCGGUUGAAGGUGUGUGGUAACGCAUGCUGGACGUAUCAGAAGUGCGAAUGCUGACAUGAGUAACGAUAAAGGGGGUGAAAAACCUCCUCGCCGGAAGACCAAGGGUUCCUGUCCAACGUUAAUCGGGGCAGGGUAAGUCGACCCCUAAGGCGAGGCCGAAAGGCGUAGUCGAUGGGAAACGGGUUAAUAUUCCCGUACUUCUUACAAUUGCGAUGGGGGGACGGAGAAGGCUAGGUGGGCCUGGCGACGGUUGUC